AGCUUUGCGCAGUGGCAGUAUCGUAGCCAAUGAGGUUAAUCUGAGGUGCGAUUAUUGCUAAUUGAAAACUUUUCCCAAUACCCCACCAUGACGACUUGAAAUAUAGUCUGCAAUGGCAAUUUUUGACAGUCUCUAUGGAGA